rnacentral:rRNA from 1 species
CCUACGGUGGACAGCAGUGGGGAAUAUUUCACAAUGGGCGAAAGCCUGAUGCAGCAACGCCGCGUGAAGGAAGACGGUUUUCGGAUUGUAAACUUCUGUUCUUAGUGCAGAAUAAUGACGGUAACUCAGGAGCAAGCCACGGCUAACUACGUGCCAGCAGCCGCGGUAAUACGUAGGUGGCAAGCGUUGUCCGGAAUUACUGGGUGUAAAGGGAGCGUAGGCGGGAAGCCAAGUCAGCUGUGAAAACUACGGGCUUAACCUGUAGACUGCAGUUGAAACUGGCUUUCUUGAGUGAAGUAGAGGUUGGCGGAAUUCCGAGUGUAGCGGUGAAAUGCGUAGAUAUUCGGAGGAACACCGGUGGCGAAGGCGGUCAACUGGGCUUUAACUGACGCUGAGGCUCGAAAGUGUGGGGAGCAAACAGGAUUAGAUACCCUAGUAGUC